GCUGUGCAUUAGAUGGAUGGCUUCACAUCACAGUCCAGCCUCCCGAAGAGAAACAAGGAGUUUUGGCUGAUUCAUGAUGACAAUGGCUGUCUUUUCUCAACUUCUCUAAAUGGCACAUAGGAAGGGACCUUGUAAUCCAAGAGCAGUUACUGGAAUCACGGUCUCUCGCAAUGGAUCUUCAGUAUUCACAACAUCCCAAGAUUCCACCUUGAAGAUGUUUUCUAAAGAAUCAAAAAUGCUACAAAGAAGUAUAUCAUUUUCAAAUAUGGCUUUAUCGUCUUGUUUACUUUUACCAGGAGAUGCCACUGUCAUAACUUCUUCAUGGGAUAAUAAUGUGUAUGUAUCUGUGCACCCUGCUCUGUGAUUCGACGUGCAGAAUAGCUGCCUCUGUGGACAUGAGGUGUGAAAAGCCAGAAGCUUUCCCUGCCAGGACACAGCACUGUUUUCUAAAGGGAACAGAUAUUAGAGAUGAGGACAGUAUGGUUGGAUUUGAAUAUGAUUGCUUAGAUUGAAUAAUUUCUCCAAUUGGAGUCUGUUUUUCUCUAAGUUUUAAAUUGAGGAGAAAACAGAUGAGCCAGACAUGGAAAUUUC
rnacentral:lncRNA from 10 species